AUUGAACGCUGGCGGAAUGCUUUACACAUGCAAGUCGAACGGCAGCACGGGAGCUUGCUCCUGGUGGCGAGUGGCGAACGGGUGAGUAAUGCAUCGGAACGUACCUAUUAGUGGGGGAUAACUAUCCGAAAGGAUAGCUAAUACCGCAUACGUCCUGAGGGAGAAAGCGGGGGAUCGCAAGACCUCGCGCUAAUAGAGCGGCCGAUGUUGGAUUAGCUAGUUGGUGGGGUAAAGGCCUACCAAGGCGACGAUCCAUAGCUGGUCUGAGAGGAUGAUCAGCCACACUGGGACUGAGACACGGCCCAGACUCCUACGGGAGGCAGCAGUGGGGAAUUUUGGACAAUGGGGGCAACCCUGAUCCAGCCAUUCCGCGUGAGUGUAGAAGGCCUUCGGGUUGUAAAGCUCUUUCGGCAGGAACGAAACGGUGGUUACUAAUACUAGCUACUAAUGACGGUACCUGAAGAAGAAGCACCGGCUAACUACGUGCCAGCAGCCGCGGUAA
rnacentral:rRNA from 1 species